GAAAGCCCUAUGAUGGGAAACUACCACGUUAGGUUUGGAGAGAGAUGGGACCGGUUAUACAAUAGGGGGAGCAAAUGCAAGCUUUUUUUCUUUCAAUAGCCGGCCAAAUGACUACAGGAUCAUCGGUCUACUCUAC
rnacentral:ncRNA from 1 species